UCGGGUAUGGUGUAGCGGUAACAUCGCUGACUCUCAUCCAGAUCUUCUUCUUCUAACAGAAGACGAGGAGAGGUUACUCAGCAGCCCGGGGUUCGACUCCCCGUAUCCGAG